CCCACCGGAAGUGCCGACAGAAAAAAAAAAAGUCAAUACAGAGAGAAAAAAAAGAAAGAGACUGUAUGUGAAUAAAGCUUGAGAAUUUCGAGGAAAGAAACAAGUUAUUUUAGAAAAAUAAUGGGAGUUUUUUUUUCCCCCAUAAGGAUUAAAAAGUAGAUGGUUUGUCUAAAGCUAAAAUACUAACAAAACUUUGAAGUGUGUAAGGGAGCUUACCCUUUUAUGGCCUUGUUCGUCGGGAGCUGAGGUUAACGGAGUCAUCACUGUAAAUGUGGUGACAGAUUUGCAAGACAGUUAAUUCAGAGGAAUCGGUGAGUUUUGUUGUAUGCAUUGAAAUUGGGAUUUUCUGCUGUGAGUUACAGACCUGGUGUGGAGGCAUCUAGCUGCGUUGAGAAAAAAGAAGUCUGAGUCUUGAGAACUUUUGUUUUUUCCCCCCAACGAUUCACCGUCUGUUCUGCUGACGGACUUUCCGCUUCCAGCCUCUGAGGGACAGAGGGAUUUUCUUUCCCUGAUUCUGAUUUAAUGGACUGAAGUGGUUUCUGCACUUGAUUUGAAUCAUCGAAUGGAUGGAGGAAGUUGGAGAUCCAUCGACACAGAGACAGGCUGAGGCCCUGGAUCUCCAACUUAGUGUGUGCUAGGGCUCAUUGUGUGGAUUUAAGGUCAUCAUAUCCUGGAUUCUGAGUUCAUCAGGGCUUUUCAGUAUCACUGUGCAGCUGGACCAGUAUCUGCUACUAGGCGAGGAAGUCCUGUAAUGACCAGGCAUGGAGCUGGAUUGCUCUUUCAGUCCAUUAAUCUGCUUCUCCUGUCUCUGACUCUAUGGAAGGGAAGUGUGCAACUCAGUUGAUGCUCUUGUGAGAAGAAUAAUAAGCUCAUCUCCUUCACAUAGUCAAUCAAGCCACAGUCUCAGGUUUUCAAAUUCUUUUUCUUCAAGUAGAGUGGUUGUUCUCUGUUUUUUUUUUUUUACCUUACCUUAGUUUCUUGUUUUCAGUUUCACCGACUGCCCUGUCCACUUAUCAGAACACUGGAGGAAUGUUCAAUUCUUAGUGCCAAGAUCUUUAAGUUUUGAAGUAUUGAUGUUUUAAAUUAAAUCUGUGUUUCCUAAACAUGACAAGCAUUUACCUAAAAAGGAAUCUUAUUAAUUCUGAACAUAAAAAUAAUGCGGUAUGAUGAAGAGAGUCCUUGGAGAAUCCUAUGGUCUUGUGAACAAAAGUGACGUUUGACAUAUGAAAGAAAGUGUAUUAUGGAAAUCAGUGUGCAAAUGAAGUUCCAAAAAAAUAGACAGUGUAUUUUGACUAACACAUAGGCAAGUUGACCACCAGUACAGAAGAAAUAGAACCACAAGGCAGAGCUUUGCCCAAGACAGAAGAAAAACACAAGCUUUUGCAUGUGUUUUAAAUGAAUUUUAAAAGAAGUGAGUGACUGAGUUGGUGUGGACGUGUUAAGACGUUGUGUAGGGACAUUGUGUAGAGACAGACUGAGCUCAGACGCUUCAGGGCAGAGAUGAAGUCGCUCUUUUUUAUUUUCCUGAUGGUGGUUGGUUGUGGUGUGGCUGUGGGUCUGACUAGAGAAUAUAUUUUUUUUAACUAUUACUAUUCUUGGUAUUCUGCUCAAUCAUACUGCAGACAAUAUUACAGAGAUCUGGCCACCAUCACCUCUAAUGAGGAAAAUGAACAACUUUUACGAUCAGGACCCAGUUAUUAUGAAAGUUGGAUCGGACUGACCAUGCUAUACACAAGCACCUGGACAUGGUCUGAUGGAGAACCCGCGCUUUUGCAGAAAUGGAAUGAAGGAUCACCUUAUUUUUCUUUGCGCAAUGAGGAAUUUUGUGGUGCCAUAAAUAGUAAUGGAUUUUGGAUUAAUCACCCGUAUUGGUACGGGCACCCUUUUUAUUGCUAUCGGUUCCUGAUCCUGGUGAAGGAGAAGAAGACCUGGGAAGAAGCUCAGGAGUUCUGCAGGACUAAUUAUACUGGUUUGGCCUCUGUGACCUCCAAGACAAGCCUGAAGCAGUUGAAUCUAGAGACGGUGGGGACAGAGACAGAGAGCGUGUGGACCGGCCUGCGCUUCAUGGAUGGACAAUGGUUCUGGGAGAGCGGGGAGCAGCUGGGGAGCCUGGUCUCAAUGCCUUCAUGUCCAGCUCUCUCUUACCGCUGUGGAGCUCUCAACACCACAACAAACACCUUGAUGAACCAGAACUGCAAUGAGAAGAUGAACUUCGUCUGCUACUGGUAGUGAGUGAUUUUACACAAGUACACAUCUCCUUCAGGAAGAUUAUACUGUAUACUGAAUCACACUAUUAUAGUCAUUUAUUAUUAUUAUUAUUAUUAUUAUUAUUACUGGUGUUGUUGUUAUUAUUAUUAUUAUUAUUAUUAUUAUUAUUAUUAUUCAUUCAUGUAUUUAGCUUUCUUUGUUAAUAUUUAUCUGGUUUUUAGGUUUAGAUUCUGAACACCUCCUGUAUGAACUGAACACAUGAGGAGGUUAUUUGUUGGUGGAGGGUCAGAGUUUAUAAUAAAUGUAGAGAUCUGGAUUGUGAUUGGUCAGAAGUGGUCAUAGUAGUGGCAUAAAAUCUCAUAAUGUAUGAUGUCAUAAAUAUUGUCACUGAAUAUCUUUUUUUUAAUGACCUUUUAAUUAUACAUUUUUUGUGUAGUUCUGCAUGUUCUGAUUGCUUUACUGACUAUAUUUCUAACAUCCUUGUCCUUCCAUGCUGUUUGUAACUUAAACUUUUUGUCCUUUAUAUUUAUGCCAUUACCAUUUUAGCCAGUUUAGGGAUCUAAUAACUUGUUAAAUAAUGAAUUUGUUGUGAGAACCUGUGUCUAUGUAAACAUCCAGUGUCGAUAUUUUGUGUUGAAAAGUUAUCUGAUUCAGUGAGCUCAUUGUACACUCUAGUGGACAUAAGGUGUAUUACAGCUAAGUAGAUAAUUCUAAUACAGUAUAUACAUCCAUAUUGUCAUUUUACUGUUAAACUUGUUAAUGACAAAUAAAUAAAUUGUUGGUUACCUUAAAAUUCUAAAUUCUUUUAAUGUUUAGUUAAUCUUUAAAUUAACAAGAACAUAUUCCUAUCCAAAAUUUCAGCCUGGCAAUAAAAGUGAAAACGAUAAAACACGCACUUUUAACACACCAGAUCCAGAUCUGUGAUUUUUAUAAACAAUAUUCUAGAGUUUUCACUAAACAUUUUCUUUAUUCACUGCAAGUUUUUCUCUAUAUUUAAUUCACUCAACUUCCAAAAAAAGCAAACUUUUUGUUGUGUUGAAGAGAGUCAAGGAAGAAUACACAGGGUUUCAGAUUUUGUUUAAUUGUGUGUUUUAUAUCAGAGCUGGAGAUGGGGAUGAUACUGUUACAGACUGCAUUUGGUUUCUGAGAGCUUAUUUUUUAGCCUGGAUCUUAUUGCUGCAGUUUCUCUGGCUAAAAGAAAUGUCACAUCAGUUGAUUUGGGUAACAUGCAAAACUGCUUUUCACACCUGAGAUCAUCUUUAAUUUGAGUAGUAGGGUUAUUAAAUCUUGUCUAACGAAAUUCUUGAAUUAAAUUACAAUACAGUCAAAAACUUGACUUAUACAUAAUAGAUUUUUAUAACAUUUUGUAACAGUUGUUUUGUUUCACCUGCUUAAGAGCUAGAAAAUCUUAUAUAUAUAUACACAGGAGAUUAAUAAAGGUACAUCUUAUAUCUGUCAUUAGAUCAAACUCAGCAUGAAACACAGUUUAAUUUAUGCUGAGAAACUGUCAUGUGCACACUUAAAAUAAAUUAAUAAGAUACGAGUGUCUGUAUAUAUAGGGUAUAAUGUGUGUGCAUAACCCUAACCAUAUACAGGGCAGGGACUGGAUAUAGAAUAACUAUUUAUAAGCACAGAAAAAUAUGACUAAACAAACACACAGAAAAAUGAAUAUUUAGUGGGAAAAAUAAGAGGAAAAUAAUCUUUUUUUCAUUCUACUGGAAAAUUUUGUUAAUUAUGAACUUAACAAUAAAGUUGAAUGAUAAAGAAGUUGGUGCCUGAGAGUCAUGGCUGCUCAGAGAAUGCUGUCAUCUUUUAAACAAAAAAGUGAGUUUGCAUUCGAAAGAAAUUGUAUUAUGGAAAAGAAUGCAAAGUUAUACAAAAUAGACAAAGUAAACAGUGUAUUUCGACUGACACAUAUAUGUAAGUUUACCAGUACUGCUGAGAGAAACAGAACCACAAGUCAGAGUUUAGUCCAAGACAGAAGAAAAUCUCAACAACACGUAGUUUAUUCAAGAGCUGGGUAAAGAAGGUGGUCUUCAGUUUUCAUUUGAAGAUGUGCAAGUAUAUUUAUUUUGUACCAUAAUUUGUGAAAAUCUCUGAAUUUUAACCUGUUGAUUCAUUAAAAAGUCACAUCCUACAAAUGCAUUA